AGCGAACGCUGGCGGCAGGCCUAACACAUGCAAGUCGAACGAACCCUUCGGGGUUAGUGGCGGACGGGUGAGUAACACGUGGGAACGUGCCUUUAGGUUCGGAAUAACUCAGGGAAACUUGUGCUAAUACCGAAUGUGCCCUUCGGGGGAAAGAUUUAUCGCCUUUAGAGCGGCCCGCGUCUGAUUAGCUAGUUGGUGAGGUAAUGGCUCACCAAGGCUACGAUCAGUAGCUGGGCUGAGAGGAUGACAAGCCACAUUGGGACUGAGACACGGCCAAAACUCCUACGGGAGGCAGCAGUGGGGAAUCUUGCGCAAGGGGCGAAAGCCUGACGCAGCCAUGCCGCGUGGAUGAUGAAGGUCUUAGGAUUGUAAAAUCCUUUCACCGGUGAAGAUAAUGACUGUAGCCGGAGAAGAAGCCCCGGCUAACUUCGUGCCAGCCGCCGCAGUAAAAC
rnacentral:rRNA from 1 species